rnacentral:lncRNA from 1 species
UGUGAGGAUGGCUUUGUGCGGCUGCUCAGGUUGGCCUGGCCAAAUCCCCCUGCCAGGAGAGGCCAGUCUGGCUGCCGAGCCUCCUGAACUUAAGUUACCUGAGGAAGCAGCCUUGAAACCAUCUGUUUCUCGUUGCUUUGCUUGCCAUGGGCCUGCUUGACCCAGAGGCCCCUGCUCUGUCUCCUGCAUCAGCAGAGAUGAGGGACAGGAAGACAUCUCUGUGGGAAGAGUCAGGAGGACCAUCCUUUGUGAGAACAUUGAUCCCUGGGCAUCUCUCCAGACCUGCAGAAUCUGUGUCUCUGAGGAGAGACUCUGGAACCUGAAUGUUUAUAGAGCUCCCCUGGCGAUCUGAUGGGGGUCAGGGAUCAGGAGCCCUGGCAUAGAGGACGCAUGCUCUGCACGAUCUCUGGAGAGACACCAUACUUGAAGAGGGUCAAAAACGUGCCACACAGGACAGGGGGUGGGUGGGGUUAGGACGUAUUGGUUGUCUGAGCACAAGAGAAGCCUGGAUCUUUGAGGAGUCUCAAGGGGGAGCAUUUGCAGAGUUUGAGCCUAAAGCAAGGAUAAAGCCCCCAAGAUGGAGAGAGCUGUAUGUGCUCAGACAAACCAGAGGCCUGAGGUCUAGGCGUCAGCACCAGACAGGCCUUUCAGAGGUAUCUAGAGCCCUGAAAUGUGAGGCAGGGAGAUUCUACCUCUCACGGAAGGAGAGAUUUGGGUACAUCACUAGGCACCCAGUUCCUUCUCUGAGGAGUGAAAUCCUUGCCACCAGCCUUAGCUGUAUACUGGGAAGUAGACACCUAAAAUUUCCCGUGCCCUCUGGUUGAGAGGCAGGAUUUGGGAGUUUGGAGCUGGGGCCAGGGUGAGCCUGAAGUGGGAAAUGGGGCCUCCUCUGACCCGCAGGGGGUGAGCCCCGGAGCUGCUCUAUACCUUGUGACCUGCUCCUUCUCCCUGUAAACUCUUAACCCCGAUUUGGAGGUGAUUCCCAAGGGUAGGGCUCACCUGCCCAGAAAUACAUUAAAUAAAGAAAUGUGCUCGGCCCAGAUUUUAUCUCAUCAGGAUUCCAGAGCACAAGACAAAUGGCCUCAUGUCCAGCAGGGAGGUAUAAUUCAUUCUCCGGGGUGAGCCCCAAGCCUGGGAGUGGCGGGGGGGGGGGGGGGGNNNNNNNNNGAUUUUAUCUCAUCAGGAUUCCAGAGCACAAGACAAAUGGCCUCAUGUCCAGCAGGGAGGUAUAAUUCAUUCUCCGGGGUGAGCCCCAAGCCUGGGAGUGGCGGGGGGGGAGGAGCGACGGAUGUUUUGGCACAUCUGGAACGUGCAGACUUGGGGGCCAGCAGGCCCUGGAGUUCUGUGUGUAGGGCUCGGCUGUGAGACCUUCAGAAUAACUCUGCCUUCCCAGGGCUUGCACAGGGAUGGAAACAAAACCUAACAUCCUUUAAUUCAGGGAGUCUGUUUCUGAGACUUAUUCUAGGGGAACACACAAAGAUGUAUAAAGAUUUAGCUACAGGGCUGUACUUUGCCGUGUUAUCUAUGAGCCUAAAAAACCGGAAGCAACCUAAAUGUUCAACAAGAGGGGAUUGGUUAAAUAAAUUCUGAACCAGAAAAUAACAUACAAUGCAGUCUUUCAAAGAUGAGUUUGUAGAACACUUAAUGACAUAGAAAGAAGUUUAUAGCAUAGAAGGCAGAAAAAUAAAAAGCUAAUAAAGACAUAAAAUAACCCAACUUUGAAAAUACGUUGAUUCAGUAAAAAUGUUGGAAGAUUAUACACCAAAACACUGACUGGUUGUGAGAUAAAAGGCAAUUUUAGAGUUUUUAUUUUUCCUUUGCUUUUCUUUUGGUCUUGCUUAUCUGAAUUUUUAACUUUUCCAGAAUAGUCAUGCACUUAUGUGUACACAAAUGAUAAAAAUGUUGAAAGUUGGUAUUGUUGUUAUUAUUUUAUAAACCAGAGCCCCCAAGAUAUAGUUCAAAAAGGAGGAUUUCCAGGCGGGAGGGACAGCUGGAUCAAAUAGGCUUGUCACCUGCUCACCCCCCUUCUUUGGGCCGAUGUCUUCAUUCUCACCGCCUCCCCAUGGCUGGUCCCCUGGGAUGCCACUGUGCUUUCAUUUCUUUGGACCAAGCACAGCUAGAAACCCAGGCUUUGGCUUCUUUUAGCAAAGCACAGCUCAUGUACCAGACGGCAUUACUAAACCCUGAGGGAAGACAACAAGAAUAGAGGCACAGUACCUGGAAGAUCUAUACAACCACCAGGCUUCCUCAGGCAAGGGUGUCCUGUCCCACCUCGGCCAGGACGCCUGCAAAGGCUCCCAGGUCUUGCCCAUCCUCUGGGGAAGUCUCAGAGGGGAUGGAGGCUCCAUACCCAGAGUCCUCUAUCCCAUCUUACUCUUAGCACAUUCUUCCCAGGUCCGCUUUCUACUUUGAAAGACACACUUUCCCUCAGGCACCUGAUCUUGAGAAUGACCUCCCUCUCCGGUAGGACCCACCAUGACACAGAGGGAGAGAACACUAUUCUUGCGGCCAGACUCCUGAUAAAAAUACCCCACAGCACUCGUCUCAGAGGACUUACACCUUACACAUACAAGAGGUCCCCCAGGACCUAACAAGCUUCCAGACUUGAAGAGUAAACACAUUUACUUGGCAUCCUCAAGCUUUUCUUUUCUUUUUAAUGUUUAUCUACUUUGAGAGAAAGAGAGAGAAAACACCCUCAGAUGCACACACAAGUGGAGGAGGGACAGAGAAAGAGGGAGAGAGAAUCCCAAGCAGGCUCCGCAGUGUCAGUGCAGAGCCCUACGUGGGGCUUGGUCCCACGAACUGUGCGAUCAUGACCUGAGCCAAAAUCAAGAGUCGGACACUUAACUGACUGAGUCACCCAGUUGCCCCUCCCCAAGCUUUUCUUAACAUUACUCCACAUACUUCUGCCCCAAAUUAAGGCCUGAUGGGAAAUCAGUGAAUAAUUUUAUCCCUCUAAAAACCAAUAACAUUUGAAAUUGUAAUAUGAAUACAGGUUCAUCAUAAAAACUAUUUAAAAAUCUAAAAAAAAGAAGAAAACAUCUCAUAAUCAUCACACUAAAUGGAAGUAAACAUUACUGAUACCCAUUUCAAUAAAAUUGGGGAAAUAUACACAUACACACAUAAAAUUUUGAUUUUAUACAUGAAUUUAAAGUCAUUUACACACACAUAAACAUAAAAGCCUGAUUUUUUUCCAUAUAAAUUGCAUUAACAGAAUUUUCCUGGAUCAUUAAAAUAGUCUUUGAAAAUGUAAUUGCAUGGUAUCCCACUGCACGACACAAUGAUUAUUAAACAAAUGUCCAAUCGUUAUUUAAGCUAUUUCCAAACUGUUUGCUAUUAUACAGAAUAAUUUAAUAAACAUUGCACAUACAUCUUUGCAUAUAUCUCUGGUAAUUUCUUUAGGAUAAACUUCUAGAAAUAGAAUUACCAAGUCUACAAAGUUCUUGGUGUCUCCAACCAAUGCAUGCUUGUUAAAUUGUAUUGAUUUGAACCAAAGAAGUAAAAACCUCCAGAGCGGUGCUUUACCAUGUUCACUGCAUGCUCUGAGACCCAGAGAAGGUUCCAGGGGUCCAGGUGCUCUCCCUCUACCCACCCUGUGGAACUGCCCCUUGGAGCCCAGGCAGAGGCUGAAGUCAGCAGUCCUCGGUGCUCCCUGGCUGGGUCCAGCCCCUGCUGCUGCCACAUGGUUGCUUCCCUCAGCUUCUCAGAAAAGCCCCGAGUCCUGGAAGAGCAGUGGUAAGCCAAGCAGGGGGAGCUCAGGGAGGGGCCGCUGCUAUCCUGGGCGUGGUGGUCAGCACAAAACUUGUGCCGGCCCUACUGGGGGUUCCCCGUGUUUGGUGUGAGAGCAUCAAGCCCACUCAGAAGCCCUUCUGUGAGGAUUUCCUUCCAGCCCAUUGUGGUGGUCGGUCCCCUGGGGAGUAUACGGUAAGCGUCACCCACCCCCUCUUCAGAUGGGGCAUCCAGGGCACAGAGGCCAGCAGGAUGUGAGAGAUAGGACAGGACCAGGGAUUCGGAGACACAGCUCUAGGUCUCUCUCCACCAGCCAGUGUUGCCAAACCACAGCAGGGUGCGUCCCGUGGGAAAGUGACCCAGCACAACCAGAGGCAGAGGCCCUGUGAGGAGGCUGGGCUCGUGCCACAGUCAUUUUCAACAAAUACUUAUUGAGCAUCUACCAUGUACCAAUCAUUGAGAAACUAGCGAUAACCCAAGAGGCAAAGCCCCUGCCCAGAAGAAACAGCAUGCCGGUGGGGGAAACAGAUAAUAAGCCCCCCAAAAUCAUGGCUGAUGCGGUCAAGAGCUGAGAAGAAACCAAAGCAAGGUGAGGUGGACAGACAGUGACACAGAGGGGUGGGUAACUUUUAGAUGGGCCGAUCCACAAAGGUCUCUCUGGGUUGAUAUUUGAGCAAAAGCUCGAAUGCAUACAGGGAACAGGCCCUGUGGGUUUCUGGAGGAAGCCCUUCAAGGCAGAGGGAGCAGAUCCUGAGGCAGGAGCGAGAUUGGUAUGUUUGAGAAGACAUCAGGAGCCAGUAUGGCUGGAACAGGGUGAACAGGGGACAGCGUAGGGAAUGAGGUCACAGAGCUAGUAGCAUCCCCAUUAUAUAAGGGAGCUCCCACUGGGCCACCGGCAUCAUGUGGCACACUUGUCAUCUCUUGUCAUGAACCUUGAAGGUUAGGGGACCCUCCGGUGGCAGAAGACAAGAGAAUAAUAGCAGAGGUUCUACUACCUGAUCAGGUGUUCAUAUCAAGGUCGCGAGGAAGGAGGGCAUGUUCUAGAGCUCCAUUCCACUGUGCUGGGUGCCGAGUGCCCAAGGCUGACCAGGCCACAAGGCUGCUUCUAAGAGGCUCACAACCCCGUGGGGCCAACAGAUGGGCAGAGCCAAUGAGCUGGCAAGGAAAUCUUGUCGUUUGUGACAAGGCUCGACAUGGAGGACAGUGUGCCGAGUCAAAGCAGAGGAAGACAAGCAUUGCAUGACCUCACUUAAAUGCGGAAUCUAAACAAGUCCAACUCAUAGAAGCAGAGAGUGGAACGGAGGUAGCCAAGGGCUGCGGUACGGGGGAAAUGGGGAGAUGUUGGUCAAUGGGUACAGACUUUUAGCUAUAAGAUGAGAAGGUUCUGGAGAUCUAACAUACAACAUGGUGAUUAUAGUGAAUAAGUCUAUAUUGUGUACUUGAAAUUUGCUAAGAGAGGAGAUCUCAAUUCUCAAUUGUUUUCACACGCACACGCGCACACACACACACACACACACACACAAGAAGGUGACUGUGUGAAGUGAUGGAUAUGUUAACUACCUUUGUUGUGGUCAUCAUUUCACAAUGUAUACAUGUGACAUGGCACACCCUAAAUAUAUGCAACUUUUUAAAUAAUUUUUUUUAGUUUAUUUUUUGAGAGAGAGAGAGAGAGCAGGGGAAGGGCAGAGCGAGGGAGAGAGAGAAUCCCAACCAGACUCUGCACUGUCAGCUUACAGCCCAAUGCAGGGCUGGAACUCACGAACUGUGAGAUCAUGACCUGAGCCGAAAUCAGGAGUCGGAGGCUUAACCCACUGAGCCGCCCUGGCGCCCCGUAAAUAUAUGCAACUUUUUUGUUUGUUUGUUUUGUUUUUUUUUUUUGUUUUUUUUUUCAACGUUUAUUUAUUUUUGGGACAGAGAAUGACAGAGCAUGAACAGGGGAGGGGCAGAGAGAGGGAGACACAGAAUCGGAAACAGGCUCCAGGCUCCGAGCCAUCAGCCCAGAGCCCGACGCGGGGCUCGAACUCACGGACCGCGAGAUCGUGACCUGGCUGAAGUCGGACGCUUAACCGACUGUGCCACCCAGGCGCCCCAAUAUAUGCAACUUUUAUUUGUUCAAUUAUAUCUUAGUAAAGCUGGAGAGAGAGAGAGAGAGGGGAAGGAAGGAAGGAAGGAAGGAAGGAAGGAAGGGAGGAAGGAAGGAAGGANNNNNNNNNNNNNNNNNNNNNNNNNNNNNNNNNNNNNNNNNNNNNNNNNNNNNNNNNNNNNNNNNNNNNNNNNNNNNNNNNNNNNNNNNNNNNNNNNNNNNNNNNNNNNNNNNNNNNNNNNNNNNNNNNNNNNNNNNNNNNNNNNNNNNNNNNNNNNNNNNNNNNNNNNNNNNNNNNNNNNNNNNNNNNNNNNNNNNNNNNNGGAAGGAAAGAAGGAGGAAGAAAGAAAGGGAGGAAGGAAGGAGAGGGGGAAGGGAGGGAGGAAGGAAGAAAGGAGGAAGGGAGGGAGAGAGAGAGAGAGAAAGGAAGGAAGGAAGACAAGAAAACACAUCCUUGCCUCACAGAGUUGUUGAGAAGAAUAAAUAAGAUGUCAAUAAAAGCUGGUCAUACAAUAUCUUAUGAAAAAUCAGUGCUGCACAGGAACUUGCUGUGCUUUAAGCCUAAUUUUGCUGUGAACCUAAAACUGCUCUAAAAAGUAAAGUUCAUUCAUUGAAAACAAAAUAAAACUGUAAAAACCAAGCAUAUGGCAUGGCAGGCUCGGAAGACUUCCUCGAGGAGGUGCCGUUUGAACCAGGCCUUGAAAAAUAAACAAGUGAGCCAAAUUUCGACAGGCAAGGAAAGUGAGAAAUGCACUUCAGAGAGAAAUACUGGUUUGCUGACAAGGGAGCAGGGGGACCCUCUGGCGGGAUAUUGGGGUGUAGAGCCCACGGCCUCCAUUUGGGAUUAUCACUGGGACAAAAGUAGACAGUGAGAAGAGAAGAGAGUUGAGAAGAGAAUGCUGGGGCACACAGCCACAGUGAAGGUGGGGUAGGAGGGUGCUGGGGAGGGGCUGCAGAGGAGGGUCCAAGAGGCAAGAGAAGACCAUGGGAGUGGACUGUCACAGGAUUUAAGAAAGAGCGAUGAGGAAAACAUCAAACAUAGCCAAGAGUUCGGUCAGGAGAGAGAAGUGCUGAUAAAGCCAUGGACUGGCAAGAGUUGAGUCCCUGGAGACCUGGGCGAGGGCCAGUGGGGGGUGGACAGGGCAGGGGGGAAGGGGUGUAUGACUUUUCUAUUGCUGUGUAACGAAUCACCACAAGCUGGGCAACUCAAACAAUAUGGAUUUACUCCCUCACGGUUCUGUAGGUCCGAAGUUUAAAAUCAGUCUCACUGAGCUACAGUCAAGGCUUUGCCAGGUUUGGUUCCUUCUGGAGGCUCCAGGUUUUUUGUUGUUUUUUUUUUUUUUUGCCCCAGUGGCCGUCUGUAUUCCUUGGCUUGUGGCCCUUCCCUCCAUCUUCAAAGAGCGUCAUGCAAUCCCUCUGACAACACCUCACCUUCUCCUCUUUGACCUCUGCUUCCUCUUAGAGGACCCCUGAUUGCAGAAGAUAGACCUGGACAACCCAACAUAACCUCUCUUUCUUAAGAUCCUUAACUUAAUCACAUGGGCGAAGUUCCAUACAAGGUGACACUGACGGGUUCCGGGGAGUAGGACAUGAACAUCUUGUGGGUGGGGGGAGAUGGCUUAUUCAGCCUUCCACUGUUUGGGUGGACAGGGGCCGAUGGAGAAAGGAAAGAGGGGAGGAAAAAGAGAGGGUGACAGGAGACAACUCACUCAAGAAACCUGAACUAGAAGGAAGGAGAGGACAGAUGCAUCUUGAGGAAGACCCACCCUGGCCGGAGACAAGUUGCUUUUAGGAUUUUAUUUUCGUCCCAUCCUGUUGUGUCUCCUUCCCUCCGUUCUCCCCCAAGCCCAACGGGGAGAUGAGAAACAAUCCACGUUGUUGUCAAUUUCAUAAAGCAUCGCUUCUUUCACCCCUGACACCCACCUGCCUGGGCACCUUCCAAGCUAUGUGAGUGGAAAUCCACAUUUUUAAGAGUGGUUCUCAUUGUAGGUCCUAUGGCAGGUCCUCCUUUAAUUUACAAGACAAAGAUUAUUAUAUGAUUAAUUGUUCAAGUUCAAAUAGCGAUGUCCCGUUUAGAAAGGUAAAGAUUUCAUUCCCGGCCCCCUCUUCCCCUUCUGAAAAGUUUUCUUGUUGUACAACGGAUUUUAGUUCUUCUACUGUUUUUACGUGUAACUUAAUUUUUUCCCCAGCUUUAGGGAGAGAUAAUUGACAAGGGAUCUACAUUUUUAAACCACAAGGAAAAGAAACCCAGAGCUACCAAGAAUAAUAUUUUAUUGACUUGGAACCAGUUUUGGAAUUUGUAUUUUUAACCAACUACCCAGGUGAUUUUGAUGAUCAGACAGUUUGAGGGGUUUUUUUUUCCUCUUUCUCUUCCCUUCGGUAAACUGUUUUUCAACUUUGUUUUUCAGUGAAAACCAUUUCCUCCUCACCAUGGACUCCAUCCAGAGGCUGCACCCAUCUCUCCCACGUCAACAGUCUGUGUCCUUGGCAGAGGACAGUGCUCUCAUUCUGGGCCUUUCCCUUCUUCCUCAGCCAAAGCCCUG